AACGAACGCUGGCGGCAGGCUUAACACAUGCAAGUCGAGCGCCUCGCAAGAGGAGCGGCAGACGGGUGAGUAACGCGUGGGAAUCUACCCAUCUCUACGGAAUAACUCAGGGCAACUUGUGCUAAUACCGUAUACGCCCUUUGGGGGAAAGAUUUAUCGGAGAUGGAUGAGCCCGCGUUGGAUUAGCUAGUUGGUGGGGUAAAGGACUACCAAGGCGACGAUCCAUAGCUGGUCUGAGGGGCUGAUCAGCCACAUUGGGACUGAGACACGGCCCAAACUCCUACGGGAGGCAGCAGUGGGGAAUAUUGGACAAUGGGCGCAAGCCUGAUCCAGCCAUGCCGCGUGAGUGAUGAAGGCCCUAGGGUUGUAAAGCUCUUUCACCGGAGAAGAUAAUGACGGUAUCCGGAGAAGAAGCCCCGGCUAACUUCGUGCCAGCAGCCGCAGUAA
rnacentral:rRNA from 1 species